UAUCUCUGUAGAGUCUGCAUAUCAAUAAGCGGAGGAAAAGAAACUAACAAGGAUUCCCCUAGUAACGGCGAGUGAAGCGGGAAGAGCUCAAAUUUGAAAUCUUAAAGGGUUUCCCUUGACGAAUUGUAGUUUAAAGGAAGUGUUUUCUGUUGGAGUUUUCGGUAAAAGUUCUUUGGAAUAGGGACAUCAUAGAGGGUGAGAAUCCCGUAUUUGACCAGUUACUUUCCAGCUGUGUGAUACACUUUCAAAGAGUCGGAUUGUUUGGGAAUGCAGUCCAAAAUAGGGUGGUAAAUUUCAUCUAAAGCUAAAUAUUGGCGAGAGACCGAUAGCGAACAAGUACCGUGAGGGAAAGAUGAAAAGAACUUUGAAAAGAGAGUUAAACAGUACGUGAAAUUGUCAAAAGGGAAGCGUUUGACACCAGUGUUGUUUAGUUGAAAAUCAAUUAAAUAGUUUUCGAUUUAAGUAGUAUUGACCUUAUCAGCUUGCUGCUUUCUUCUCGGAAAUUAUUUAAUGCACUUUUCAGUUAACAAGUCAACAUCAAUUUCUUUUGUUGUAAAAAGGUAAGAGGAAGGUGGCUUGCGCUUCGGCUCAAGUGUUUAUAGCCUUUUACCUCUGCAAUCGGAGAGAUUGAGGUCUGCAGCGUAGAUCCUUCGGGGUUAGAUACAUUUGUGCUAAGCUAUAGCCUUGUAUAGACAACUUGUUGACUAUGCUCAGUCAUGUAGCUUACUCGCUUAUGCUAUUUUACCUACGCUUAGGAUGUUGACGCAUGAGAUAUACGC
rnacentral:rRNA from 1 species